UGGGUCCUGAGGCCCAGAGAUGUUCUAUGUGUGUGUAAGUUCUCACUGGCAGAGCUGGGACUCAAAUGCAAACAGUGUGACUCCAGGGCGCACACUCCUAACCCCAACAUUGUAAGGUCCUUGGGUUGCCAUCUAAAAACUGGGACUUUCCUGGAGCCACAGUGGGGGACAAGUGGUCCUAUAUUAGCUGCUUGAAGCAGAUGGCAGCUGGUUGAGAGUUAGGUACACAGCUGGACUGGCACUUAGCCGGACUGGCUCACUUUCCCCCCAUGUUAGACAUCAGCAAGUUUCCAGUUACUCCCUUAUAAGAAGCCACAGUUUGUCCUGGCAUAGUGUAAAUUACUUUCUGAGAUCUGACAAACCACUCCCCCUUUCACCCCUUUUCUGUCCCCACCUAGGCACCAGCCUCUCUCCCAACUGCCCCAUGGUUUGGAAUUCUUAAGCCAGAUAUUCUCAAGGCUUUGCUAAACAAGCCCAGGAGUGGUUUGGGGCUUCAGAAGUAGCCUUUGUCUUGUCUCCAUGCUCCAAAGGGCUGAAGAACUUCCAAAUGGAAAAUCACCUCUUUCUUCCCUACAGUCACUGUCAAAGCAUACCUUCAUUUUCAUAGAAUCAACAUAACCUUAAGCUCUAACCUCUCACACUGAAGCUGAGGAAACAGGCCCAGAGAUCUCCCGAAAGGAUCUCUUCCUGUAUACCCGUGCUGUCCAGUAUGGUAGCCUUGAGCCACGUGUGGCUAUUUAAAAUUAAUUAGAAACCUAAUUCCCCAGAAAAUUAGCCACAUGUCAGUUGUUUAAUAGCCACAUAUGGCUUAUGGUUACCAUCCUGGACAGUGUAAAUAGAGAACUUCCCAUCUUCCCAGUAAGUCCUACCGGACAGUACAGAGCUGUGGGUGUGUCUGCUUUCCCUUCCUGAUUUCCAUGGCCCUGGCCAGAGUCCCUACCAACCUCUGGGUUUCCUGUGCAGUUAUCAGUCCAGCCAACUCACCUGCAGAGUGUAAAGGGUCUGGUGUACCUACAUUUCACAAAGCAUCAGGAAUUUGAAGCAUUUCUAGGAAUCUAGGAAUAUCUAGAAAUCCUAAAUGGAAAUACAACCACACACAUACACAUAUCAGGCAUGUAUGGUAAUGGUUCAGGCUGGGCUGCUUUAUGGCUUCCUCUGCCAUAACAGAUGCAGGGAAUGGCCUCCCUGCCUCCUGGGGUGGGGUAAGGUGCUAAGCGGACCAGGGCUUUGACAUUAGGAAGAUUUGAGUUUGAAUCCUGGCUUUGUGACCUUGAUCUCAUAACUUAAACUGUUAGCUUCAGAAUUCUCUUGUUUAAAAUGGGGAUAGUGAUAGGAACACCUCCAGUUUUUGUUAAGGGCAAAAUGAUAAUCUCAUCAGCACACUACAAGCACCCAAUAUCCACGGAUGUGGUUCCCUUUUCCUAGAUUCCCUGCUGAACUCCAAAUUGGCAGAGAGGAAUAUUGCCUAAGUAAUGGUCUCAGUACCUCAGCAGUACUGGAAGGAAUUGCCAAUUAGAGGGAAGCUAUUAGCCAGCUAUCCACUUCAUGUGACCCAUGGCAGGAUUAAUAAGCCAGUAAAGCAGGGUUGCUCUUCCUGUGAAUUCCUUAACACUUUUC
rnacentral:lncRNA from 1 species